GCCUCCACUUUCUGUAUCUCUUUAAGGGCCUUUGUUUUGGUUAUGUAUUGUAUCGAAUGUUUAAUAUAAUGUUACAUUUGUGAAGAAAAAAAAUGAAAAAAAAAAUGAAAAUCUAGCAUUAAAAAAUUUAGAUGGUAAUGAAUUUUUUAUAGUUAGUAUAAGAUUUAGUAAAUCACCAUUUUUGAUAUAUUUGUCUAAAUAUCAAAAAAAAAAUUGGAAACUUUACUCGAGGCUUGUGGUUUUGUCC